AUUGUGCAAUCAAAUUUACUGAUUAAUGUGAGGUAAACCCCACAAUUAUGAUCCAUAUUUAUGCGGAUGUUGAUAAGUUUUUAUCGAAGAUGGACUUCAUCGAAAUGAUAUGCGCAAAUUUGAAAUGGCCGUGGUCAUUAACUCAUUUUAUAUUUUGUUCUCGUUGUUAUGGAUGUGGUUUCCAGAUAGCCCGUGGAAAUAGACCGUUACAUUUUGUUUUAACAGACAAAAAUGUAAAUAAUUUAUUACGUUA